ensembl:lncRNA
GGGUAAAUAUAUAAAUUUUUAUGCUACUACUUAUUUUUUAUCUCUUAACUGUGGCCAGAUACUUAAUGAUUUUAUAGAUAUGUCAUUUAAUUUCAUAGAGAAAUAUGUAUUGCAUAAUAUAAAAUUUUACAUAAGUAGCCGACUCAUUGGAAAAGACACUGAUGCUGGGAAAGAUUGAAGGCAGGAGAAGAGGGCGGAAGAGAAUGACAUGAUUGGAUGGCAUCACUGACUCAAUGAAUAUGAUUUUGAGCAAACUGCAGGAAAUAAUAGAGGACAGGGGAGCCUGGCAUGCUGCAGUCCACAGGGUUGCAAAGAGUCGGACGUGACUUAGUGACUGAACAACAAUAUAUCAUAAACACAAUAAGAUACAAGUAUAACAUAUUUUUAUAUAUAAUUUAAAUAUAAAAUUUAUGUUUGUAUAAAUCAUACAUGCAUUUAAUCUUCAAACCUACGUUUUACCCAUAUUUGUAGAUAAACUAAGGUACAGAGAUGUCUGCUGUCAAGGAACUCAUAUAUAUGUUGGGCUAUAUGUCCCCGGUCUCUCCAACCUGUGACUAAGAUCACAAUUCCCCCUUUGUAUAUAGGCUUUCACGACACAAACUUUCAACCUAUGUGACUGGCCCGAGUCCGAUAUUCCUCUGAUUUCUUUCUGCAAAUACCACCAGGAGAGUCCCAAAGCCCAACAACACAUAUGCCGCAGAGUAAGAAUUUAGAUUCUCCCACUUCAGCCUUUUGGCCUCACAGCAUGUUGCUUCCUCAUCACUAGUGACCUUUGUGAAGGUCAACUGCUCCCACAGCCUAAGCAGGCCUUCAGACACUGUCUACCCCCUCACUGUGGCCUUGAAAAUAAACACUGCUGUUCCUUCUCUCAGCUCUUCUCUUAGAAACACAGUCAAGCUGCCAGGUCACUGGUCUAAGCAUGAACCCGGAAGCAUGAACCCAGAGUUGGUUAAACGACUCGAUCUCAGAUAUGCUUCACAGAGCAGGGACCUGUUCACCCUCGCCCCUUGGCACCUCUGUGACUUGGAAUCCAGGCCCCAGAGAAAGACGGUGGAAAUUUCUGCCUACUGCUGCACAGCUAAAGCAGUGUUGCAGUGACCAUUGCUUAUUCUGCAUUUAUUUGUCCUGGUGAGCACAUCAGAUACGGCAGAGGAAACUUAGGAUGCCUGACCGGUAAGUUAAACACAACUUAAAAUAAUGAAACUUCUUUUGUAGCCAUAACUACUUAUCAAUUUUAAAUUAAAAUACACGUUUUAUUCUGCCUGGAAUUUUAAAAAAAGUUAGGUAACCUAUUUAAUUUAAAAACUUGGAGAAUGAACUAGAAAAUGUUUUAUAGGGCAUUUUUUUGUAAACUGAUUUAAAACUUGCAUGACUUCCUUCAUUAUGAUUAUACUGACAGGAAACUUGUGUUGUCUAAAUUCUGGAAAAGAUGCAUACAACUUGAAAGAAAUAUUAAUUUUCAUCCAGUCAAGUAAUUCCUCAGAAGGAGGAAUAGCUAGUCUGUCGGGUCUUGUGACUUCAGUGGUGCCUUUGUAAUCUAGACUGUCAAGGCCAGGAGAUUACUGUCAUUUUGCAUUUUGUGUAUUUUGAGGAGUUUUAUUCCAUUUUCAUUCUCAAUUCCUUUCCAUUUCAUAAGCCACAACUAAUUAUCUUAACCAUUUC